AAUUGUUCGCAAUGGGCGCAAGCCUGACGACGCAACGCCGCGUGGAGGAUGAAGAUCUUCGGGUCGUAAACUCCUGUCGAGCGGGACGAAUGCCUUGCCGGUGAAUAUCCGGCGAGGGUGACGGUACCUGCAGAAGAAGCCCCGGCCAACUACGUGCCAGCAGCCGCGGUAAGACGUAGGGGGCAAGCGUUGUCCGGAUUUAUUGGGCGUAAAGAGCUCGUAGGCGGCUCAGAAAGUCGGGUGUGAAACCUCCAGGCUCAACCUGGAGACGCCACCUGAUACUGCUGUGGCUAGAGUCCGGUAGGGGAGCACGGAAUUCCCGGUGUAGCGGUGAAAUGCUUAGAUAUCGGGAGGAACACCAGUGGCGAAGGCGGUGCUCUGGGCCGGAACUGACGCUGAGGAGCGAAAGCGUGGGUAGCAAAC
rnacentral:rRNA from 1 species